AUUUUUUUCUUAAUGAUAGGUUAUUAUCUUAAUCCGUCAUACCAUCAUCGUUAUAAUCUUGGAUUUGAUGAUGAACUGUUGAAGGCAUUACGAAAUGUUAUCAAUAGAUUGGAGAGGGAUCCAACACAUGCUGCUCUUGCCAUAAGUGAGGAAAAAAUAUUUCGUGAAUCCUCUGGAACUUUUGGUGAAGCGGGUGCAAUUAACGGAAGACACAAUACCGAUCCCACUGAGUGAUGGCUAUAAUAUGGUGGAUCAGCAAAGCAUUUAAAAAAGAUUGUUGUGCGUGUCUUAUCUCAAACGACAACGUCUAGUGGAUGUGAACGCAAUUGGAGCACGUUCGCACUUAUACAUACCAAAGUGCGUAACCGAUUAGCGUACGCUCGAUUAGAGAAGCUAGUUUAUGUCCACUAUAAUAUGAGGCUCAUAUGAGGCUCCGUUUAAGAUGCAUGCAAGAGGAGUAUGAUAAGGAAAAGGAAUUAAAAACUUAUGAUCCCUUGGAUGCAAGUUUUAUCAAUGAUAAAUCAGACUCCGUACUUGAUUGGCUACAAGAUAGAGACAAUCAAGAGGACCCAUUACUCGAUGAGCCUGGAGAUCCACCACGACCAUUCAGAAUAAUUGCUGAUGAAGCAGGAAUUAGUGAUGCUGAAAGAUGGACUGACAAGAACAUAGGAAGGUCUCAAGGUAAUGUGGAAGAACAAACGGCUUUGGACGAAGAAUCCCA